GAUGAACGCUGGCGGCGUGCCUAAUACAUGCCAGUCGAGCGAACGGACGAGAAGCUUGCUUCUCUGAUGUUAGCGGCGGACGGGUGAGUAACACGUGGAUAACCUACCUAUAAGACUGGGAUAACUUCGGGAAACCGGAGCUAAUACCGGAUAAUAUUUUGAACCGCAUGGUUCAAAAGUGAAAGACGGUCUUGCUGUCACUUAUAGAUGGAUCCGCGCUGCAUUAUCUAGUUGGUAAGGUAACGGCUUACCAAGGCAACGAUGCAUAGCCGACCUGAGAGGGUGAUCGGCCACACUGGAACUGAGACACGGUCCAGACUCCUACGGGAGGCAGCAGUAGGGAAUCUUCCGCAAUGGGCGAAAGCCUGACGGAGCAACGCCGCGUGAGUGAUGAAGGUCUUCGGAUCGUAAAACUCUGUUAUUAGGGAAGAACAUAUGUGUAAGUAACUGUGCACAUCUUGACGGUACCUAAUCAGAAAGCCACGGCUAACUACGUG
rnacentral:rRNA from 1 species